rnacentral:rRNA from 1 species
AUUGAACGCUGGCGGCAGGCCUAACACAUGCAAGUCGCACGAGUGGCGGACGGGUGAGUAAUGCCUGGGAAACUGCCCGAUGGAGGGGGAUAACUACUGGAAACGGUAGCUAAUACCGCAUACCAUUGGACGAGCCCCGAUGGGAUUAGAUAGUAGGUGGGGUAACGGCUCACCUAGGCGACGAUCCCUAGCAGGUCUGAGAGGCUGACAGGCCGGACUGUGACGUAGACACGGUCCAGACUGCUCCGGGAGGCGGCAGUGGGGAAUAGUGCACAAUGGGCACAAGCCUGAUGCAGCCAUGCGCCGUGUAUGAAGAAGGCCUUCGGGUUGUAAAGUACUUUCAGCGAGGAGGCGUUACUCGCAGAAGAAGCACCGGCUAACUCCGUGCCAGCAGCCGCGGUAAUUC